UGCUGACUAUGAAUCUGUAGUGGGUGCUCUAAUACAACUGAAAGUGAUCUGGGGGGAGGGGAACACUAUGAAAAUGUAUGAAAAACAACACCAGGAGUACCCAGCUUUAACUGCUGGAGUCACUGCAGGGCUAGUGAAGGCCAGGCUGUGUCUAAUGAUUUCCACUGCACUUGCUGGCCUGUUACUCAACACCACGAGUGAUUCCAGAGUUCAGGAGAUUCAAAUUAAGAUUGGAACAGUUUAUCCACAUUGGAAUCCUGGGCCUGAACUCUAGACGUGGUUAUCAUGCCGGAGUCCAGGAGGGAGGAAGACAGCUCCACCACUAUUUUUGUUGAGUAGAUGAGGGAAAGACUCAAGUGAAGUUUCCAUGCAGCCGCAGUUCCUGUUUUAUGAGAGUUCCAAGGGAGGAGUGAGGAUGAAGGAGACGAAGGAAGGAAGGUCUAAGAGCAGCGCUGUCUAACUGAAGUGUCUGCAAUGGUGGAAACGAUCUAUGCAUGUGCUGUCCGAUACGAUAGAAAGAAGAGUCAACUAUUUGAAAUUACUGUGUCUGUGGAAACCCAAUUUCCAAGUUACCUCCCUAAUCUAGAAGGGCUCAUCACUACACACCUGGAUUAUCACAAAAACCAUCCAGCGGCCUCCCUGAUUUAAGAUGGCCGCCUCAUCCCCUAUAUUCUGUAUUAGCUUCUGAGGAUCUUUCUUAAACACUGUAGCUGUCCCAGAGUUCCUGGCACUGUGUUGGGUCCUGAAAAUGAUUGCUUACUGUUUGCUAUCUUAAGACAGUCUUUUGAGGAAGAGAG